ACACUUCACUAGUACUUAUCAACUUAGGCGUUCUUCCUAUAUACAUAUACAUCCCAUUGCUUGCCUAAAGCAUUAAUACUGCAUGCAGGAAUACUUAUAUAUGCUUAAGUAGUCGAGUAGCACAGCCAGCUAAUACCAGAGUUCGUCGAAAGUGCCUCGCACAAAGAAGUAGAGAGCUCGGAGCAGCCAAGGAUGACUUGCCGGCAUUGGCGAAAUUAUAUAUGGUAUUGAUAUCUAUGGCUGCUGGCCGGCAAGUUGCCUUUGGCUACGCUGGGCUCUUUUCUUCCUAUGUGAGGCACUAAUACGGCAAAAUGAUCAUCUGGCAUCGAUCACAACAACUUGGCAUGGUUGCAGCUGGAAAUUGACUUAAUGCAAAGAAGGUAUAUUUGUAACUCUUGAGUUGCAGCCAUCAAUGCAGGGCGCUAGCUCCGACAAUCAUGCAAUGCCGACCAACCAUCCCAAUAGAGGUUAAUGGAGUUUUGUGGAGGUGUCCAACACUGAGGUUGAUUGCUAAUAGCUUCUGAUAGGGCAUUUUGGGUUCUCCACAACUUUCUUUCUGAAUAGAUUCAAGUUUGUAGGGAGUGCUUCUAAGGAUUCUCUCCACAAGAAAACUUUAUCAGCAUUUGGAAUGUUUAGCUUCUGAAUUAUUGGCCAUACUCUCCUUUGUCUUUUACUUUUAGAAGACUGCCUUUUAGUUCUCUCUUGAAUUUCUUUUUGCAUAUGGCAAGCACUCUUAAUUGAAAACUGUCCAUUUGUAGUGCCUCUCCAUAGUAGCUUUUAUGGACUAUUGCAGAAACUUAGUGGAAUUUUCAUGAUGGUUUAAGCUUCUUCUAUUGAGAAAGUUUCUACAAUCAGAUCAGAAUGUAUCCAGUGAUUAGUAUUUGAGUCUAUUAAGGCUUGCACUUUUGAAUCUUCCUCAAGGAUCUUUACAGCAAUAUGGACUUAGAAUGAAGUGGAUGGGGUAACCAUUUGUCUUUCCAUAUUUGAACUUGUUCACCAUUGCCAAUUUUCCAUAUUGUUCAUUCUUUUAACGUAUGUCUUGUUGCUAGGAUACUUCUCUAGAUAAAUGAUGGUUUGCUGCUAACUUUAGCCCAAAAGAAAGAGACCUCAGCAAGAUAUUUGAACUUUAGAACUUGUGAAGCUAAAGAGUUAGGGCUUUGGAUAAGCCUCCAACAUUUCUUUGCAAGCAUGGCAUGGUAAAACUUUCCAAGUCCCUAAAUCCUAACCCACCAGUAGACU